AAUAGAUACCCUGGUAGUCCAUGCCGUAAACGUUGGGCACUAGGUGUGGGGGCCAUUCCACGGUUUCCGCGCCGCAGCUAACGCAUUAAGUGCCCCGCCUGGGGAGUACGGCCGCAAGGCUAAAACUCAAAGGAAUUGACGGGGGCCCGCACAAGCGGCGGAGCAUGCGGAUUAAUUCGAUGCAACGCGAAGAACCUUACCAAGGCUUGACAUGUUCUCGACCGCCACAGAGAUGUGGUUUCCCCUUUGGGGCGGGUUCACAGGUGGUGCAUGGUUGUCGUCAGCUCGUGUCGUGAGAUGUUGGGUUAAGUCCCGCAACGAGCGCAACCCUCGUUCCAUGUUGCCAGCGGGUUAUGCCGGGGACUCAUGGGAGACUGCCGGGGUCAACUCGGAGGAAGGUGGGGACGACGUCAAAUCAUCAUGCCCCUUAUGUCUUGGGCUUCACGCAUGCUACAAUGGCCGGUACAAUGGGUUGCGAUACUGUGAGGUGGAGCCAAUCCCAAAAAGCCGGUCUCAGUUCGGAUUGGGGUCUGCAACUCGACCCC
rnacentral:rRNA from 1 species